rnacentral:piRNA from 1 species
GGCAGUGCUACAAGGGAUCAAGAUCAGCUCUU